rnacentral:rRNA from 1 species
AGUGAACGCUGGCGGUAGGCCUAACACAUGCAAGUCGAACGGCAGCACAGUAAGAGCUUGCUCUUACGGGUGGCGAGUGGCGGACGGGUGAGGAAUACAUCGGAAUCUACUUUUUCGUGGGGGAUAACGUAGGGAAACUUACGCUAAUACCGCAUACGACCUACGGGUGAAAGCAGGGGAUCUUCGGACCUUGCGCGAUUGAAUGAGCCGAUGUCGGAUUAGCUAGUUGGCGGGGUAAAGGCCCACCAAGGCGACGAUCCGUAGCUGGUCUGAGAGGAUGAUCAGCCACACUGGAACUGAGACACGGUCCAGACUCCUACGGGAGGCAGCAGUGGGGAAUAUUGGACAAUGGGCGCAAGCCUGAUCCGGCCAUACCGCGUGGGUGAAGAGGGCCUUCGGGUUGUAAAGCCCUUUUGUUGGGAAAGAAAAGCAGCAGGUUAAUACCCCGCUGUUCUGACGGUACCCAAAGAAUAAGCACCGGCUAACUUCGUG